UGUUUUAUUCGUAGACUAUUAAGUUUUAAUAUAUCUUUAUAACCAUUUAUUAUGUUUUAGCUUAUGUUUACAAAUUUUUGUAAUUGUUGGUUACAUAUGCAGUGGAGUAUAUUCUGAUUAGGUGCUUAAUGAUCUAUUUUGUUUAAACAAUAUUGAGACACAUUGUGAUAUGUUUCGUUUAAACAGUUUUGAGACAAUGGAUUAAGUGAACAAAUUGAAAUGUGAUAAAUAUUCUGAAAAUGAGAUAGGUAAGAUCUUUCAUGAAGAACUAGAGGCGUUUCACAGGCAGAUGGCUUAUAAAAGUUGCUGGUGAAGAGAGUGGUGAUAGCUCAUCGACUUCCUCAUAUGAAACGAGUCUUGAAUGAAAGUAUAAAAAACUAUUUGUUAAUUGUUGACGUCAAUAAGAGAAAGUUGGUGAUGCACACCAAUGUAUAGGAGAUAUAGUUCAUACACAUGAAAAGUUGAUCAAAAAGGUCAAGAAAGGGAAGAUUUCGCCGGACAUGAUAGAUGUGUUCGAGCUAGAGAUCGAGAAAUUUUAGUGUGAGUUCUCCUCUGAAGCUUCGAAACUUGCUGAAGAGUUUGAAAAACUAUCAGUUAAAGCAUCAACAUAUAGCAAGAUAGCUGAGGUAUGAUAUCUUUUCAUUUUAUGUUUUAAAUAAAUAAAAAAUCACACUACAUUUUAUGCUAAGAAUUGUGUUAAUUUAAUGAUUUUUUAAUUUCAGCACGGCGUAGAGGCUAGCCAAAUCAAUGCGCCUAUUCUAGUGAGCAUGCGAGAGCAAGUGAGGACAAGAACUUCAACCUGCCAAACUUUGAAAGAGUUUGAAGCAUAUGAAAAUCAUAGUGGAGGAAGUACAUGUAUAGUUUAUUGUGGGCUACUUGGUCAAACGUAGCCGGUACUUGCAUAAGACUUCGUUUUUUAGAUUUUGCUUAAAAAUUUUGAACUUGGUAGAAUCUCAUGCACUAGUAAAACAAUUACUAUACCUGUGUCACUACUCACUUGUAGUGCCUUCGCACCUCAUAGCAUCCUCAGGAGUAUGUUUGCUUUUUUUUUUUUGCAACUAAUUAUUUUUUCUUCCAAACAUUAUUACGAAUAUGUUGUUUUGACAUAAAAGUACGUUUUUUUUGGAACUGCAAUUCAAAAUUGUUAGAUGUAUAUUCAUUGAGCUAUUAGAAAGAAUGCGAAGGAUAAUUUAUUUUUAUAUACGACAAUUGGUUGGUUUGAUUUGCUUAAGAAUAUAAAAUCUAAUAAAUCUAAUGUUAGGACUAGUUGAAUAGAGCUAUAUGUGUAAGUCAUUUACUUCUGAAGUAUGCAAGUCAUUUACUAGCUGGAUAGUGUUAGGCUAGUUGGAGUGUGUUUUUUUGCUAGUAGUUUUGUAGGGUUUAAUUGCUGGAUUAUCUUUAAUAUCCUAUAUAUUGUUUUAGUUUUUAUUGACAAACAUUAGUGCCCAGCGGAAACCAAUUUUGCUAAACAAAAAGCUUUUAUUUUUAGCUAAUUUUUUUUUUAUUGCAGCUAAAUAUUAUUUUUUCUUCCAAAUAUUUCUAUGUAUAUGUUUUUUUAACAUAAAAGUACGUUUUUUUGGAACUACCAUUCAAAAUUGUUUGAUUUAUAAACAGUUAAGUGUUCUCUAAUUUGAUGCAUUGUGAUGAUUUGUGGAAUAAAUCUAAUUGUCUAGAUAGAUUUGACAUAAUGGAUGAACAUGAACAAAAAGUUGAAAAAUAUUUGAUGUUUUAUGUUAUCAAAUUUUAUUAUUUAAAGUGUUUUGUUUUAUUCAUAGACUAUUAAGUUUUAAUAUAUCUUUAUAACUAUUUAUUUAUGUUUUAGCUUAUGUUUAGAAAUUUUUAUAAUUGUUGGUUACAUAUGCAGUGGAGUAUUUUCUGAUUAGUUGCUUAAUGAUCUAUUUUGUUUAAACAAUAUUGAGACACAUUGUGAUCUGUUUCGUUUAAACAGUUUUGAGACAGUGGAUUAAGUGAACAAAUUGAAAUGUGAUAAAGAUUCUCAAAAUGAGAUAGUUAAGAUCUUUCAUGAAGAACUAGAGGCGUUUCGCAGGCAGAUGGCUUAUAAAAGUUGCUGGUGAAGAGAGUGGUGAUAGCUCAUCGACUUCUUCAUAUGAAACGAGUCUUGAAUGAAAGUAUAAAAAACUAUUUGUUAAUUGUUGACGUCAAUAAGAGAAAGUUGGUGAUGCACACCAAUGUAUAGGAGAUAUAGUUCAUACAUAUGAAAAGUUGAUCAAAAAGGUCAAGAAAGGGGAGAUUUCCCCGGACAUGACGGAUGUGUCCGAGCUAGAGAUCGAGAAAUUUUAGUGUGAGUUCUCCUCUAAAGCUUUGAAACUUGCUGAAGAGUUUGAAAAGCUAUCAGUUAGAGUAUCAACAUAUAGCAAGAUAGCUGAGGUAUGAUAUAUUUUCGUUUUAUGUUUUAAAUAAAUAAAAAAUUACACUACAUUUUAUGCCAAGAAUUGUGUUAAUUUAAUAAUUUUUUAAUUUCAGCACGGCGUAGAGGCUAGCCAAAUCAAUGUGCCUAUUC
rnacentral:lncRNA from 1 species